rnacentral:rRNA from 1 species
UACGGAGGUGGCAAGCGUUACUCGGAUUUAUUGGGUGUAAAGGGCGUGUAGGCGGUUACGUAAGUCGAAUGUGAAAGCCCACGGCUUAACCGUGGAAUUGCAUUCGAAACUGCGCGACUUGAGUAUGAGAGAGGAAAAUGGAAUUCCCGGUGUAAGGGUGAAAUCUGUGGAUAUCGGGAGGAACACCAGUGGCGAAGGCGAUUUUCUGGCUCAUUACUGACGCUGAGAAGCGAAAGCGUGGGGAGCAAACAGG